rnacentral:sRNA from 1 species
AUCCCUUCGUUUUAAAAUGGGUAAAUAGAAUGAAAUCUCUCUUUUUCGUUUGCUUUUAACACCAUUAUUUGAUAUGAUGGAGUAGAAUUAUUUUUGUUCGGUGUAAAGGAUAGAAAUUAUUUCGUCUUAAUGAUCACUUUGGGCAAGGAUAGUAACAUUUGUGCGAAUGGCACUAGGAGGUAAAAGUAAUGGAACAAGGUACAGUAAAAUGGUUUAACGCAGAAAAAGGUUUUGGAUUCAUCGAGCGCGAAGGUGGAGACGACGUAUUCGUACACUUCUCUGCUAUCCAAUCCGAAGGUUUCAAAUCAUUAGACGAAGGACAAAAAGUAUCUUUCGACGUGGAGCAAGGCGCUCGCGGACCACAAGCUGCUAACGUAACAAAACUAUAAUCGUUUUCUGAAAAGAAGAAGGUUCCUUUCGGAACCUUCUUCUUU